UCCCGUGUGGCUCAUUUGGUAGAGCAUGGUGUUUGCAACGCCAGGGUUGUGGGUUCGUUUUCCACGGGGGAA
rnacentral:tRNA from 1 species